rnacentral:lncRNA from 1 species
AAAGGCUAUGGAGAAAGUUGGCAAAGAAGAUGGAAUCAGAAUUGCUGUAAGUUCUCAUGUGUUCAUCUUGCAAAUAUCAAUAACAUCAUUUAUCUGGGUAUUACAUAUUUUAUUGAUCCGGGCAGGGACUGUGUGUUAUUCAUGUAAUAUUUAUCUAAAUAUAAUAAUCAUCUUAAUCACUCUUUAUUUUGACUUCAAUGUAUCAUUCCUUCGGUUAAACCAUUGUUAUAGUAUUAAAGCUUCAUCAAAGGACACUUACCAGUUAAGUCAAAC